AACUCCCCAUACAACGCUCAUUCCUCUAUUUGGCUCGUGAAGUCGUGAUGAAACCCUUCCUGUCUCCCUCUCUCGAUCUGCGCCGCCGGCUCACUUCCCUCGAUCUGCGCUCGGCUCUUCCACUGCGGCACAUCAAGGGAAGAAGAUGGGAUUGGGGGGCGAGCGGCUGCGGAGCGCGGGCGGCCUGCGGCGGGCGAGGGCCUGCGGGGCGGCGAAGAGGGGAUACUCCGGUGGGCUACCAGCGGCGACAGAGGCUUAGCGCCUGCUUCUUCUCCAGAUGGUUCAUCGCCAACUCACUGCUGCUCAUAGAGGAAGAGAAACAUAUAUGGUGGAUGAUGUCUAUCAUGCUUUUGCAGACUUCCAAGGACAGUUACAACAAUUCUGGAGCAUGUAUUGUCCUCAGUCCUCCUGAUUUUGCUACCGUCAUUUCCAUAGUAUUCAAGAUGUAAAACCUCGACCUGUGGAAGUAAUUGUUUCCGAUGAAGAGUUAAAUCUAGCGCCAUGGAUGACAACAAUUCAGGCUUUUAACUAAAUAUUUUGUCAUGUUCGCAAUCGGCUGGUUCAUUUAACCUGAUAUGUAUCCACAUAACCAUCAGAUAUUCUUGGUCAUUUUCGAAGGAUGGGUGCUGGACUUGGCACAUUUCCCUGAGAGGAUUGUUCCGGCAGUAAAUAGUGGUUUUUGAUAGAAUUAUGUAUUUGUAUUUGGCAGUGCCUCACGUACGAUCAAAGCUGGUCCGAUUUGGUACGAUAGCGCAAUCCACUGUGAAUCCACCUUGAGCCAGCGUUGAUCAACGGUGGCCAUACUACUUCGUACAGAAAUCGUACAAAUUCUGUCGUACGUGAAGCAAUGCUCAUUUGUAUUACGCCCUGCUACCAA